CUGUGGAAUGUGUUAUUACCGUCUCUCACCCAGACCAUUGUAAUAACCUCCUAAAUAAUCUCCGCUCCUUUCUCUCCCUUUGGAGAGGAAACAAUAUUAUUAUUUUGUAUUAUUAUUCAAAAUCUUUGUAUGUCUUUGUUAGGGUUUCCCUCCUCCCUGUGGGAGAAUUGUGCUCUUGUCUUUUGAUGUCGGACUUGACCCCAUGAUUUCCUCUGGUCAAUGAAAUGUAAUUAGAAGUAACUCAGGGCACUUGUGAGCAGAAGGUUUAAGAGGCAGCACCUGGUUCACUCUGUCUUUUUCCCUUCGCUAUGAGACUGGCAAGGUUCCAGAUAGCAACUGUUCUAGCAGCCAGGGUCCUGGAGAGAAGUCAACAUGAAGCAGAGCCACAGAUACGCCACAGAUAAGCUUAUGUAAUGAAGAGCUUCUCGCUUGUUGCCCAGGCUGGAGUGCAAUGGUGCGAUCUCAGCUUACUAAAUCUUCCGCCUGACAUGUUCAAGCAAUUCUCCUGCCUCAGCCUCCCAAGUAGCUGGAAUUACAGGUGCCCACCACCAUGUCCAGCUAAUUUUUUUUUUUUUUUUUUUUUUGUAUUUUUAGUAGAGACGGGUUUUCACCAUGUUGGCCAGCCCGGUCUUGAACUCCGUCAGCCUCCCAAAGUGCUAGGAUUAACAGGCGUGAGCCGGCACGCCCGGCCUCCCCGCUGAAUCCUUUCUUCAUUUUAUCAUAAUCCUUCUAAAUACACUUUCGGGAACUUUAAAAGAUGCCUACCACCAUUUGUCUCUCAUGAAGAUGUGAACUGCGACUGGAAACAGCUCAGUCUCUCACAGAUUGUAAAACUCAGAAGUAUAAUAUCCUUGGCACUAAGGGAAAGCACAAUGACACAGAAGGAAAUAUAGAAGUCCCCAAAUUAGGAAUCUUGGAUUUUAGACCCAGUGUUCCCUUAACUGCUUAAAGUGUGACCUCAAGAGGAUGAAAUUUAACCACAUCAAAGAAACCUACAGCUCUGAUACUCUCAGAAAAAAUAAGACUCAACACAAAGAGAGUAAAAAGAGUUAUUCUGUCAACGAAGGGUCUUGACCGAAUAAUGUAUACAUCAGAUCUUUUCAUCUUGCACUUCUUGGACACUGUGAUUCAAAAGGGAGAUUAUUUGUGUCAGUAAAGAAGUAUCCAUAAUGAUAAAACACAAGUACUUCAAAGAACAACCUGUGCUUCUCAAAAGGAAAAUAGUUUGGAUCCAUUUACUUUUCUCCUCUACUUCACAUUCUAAAUGACUGAGAAAAUGUCUUCUCGUUUUCAAUACAACCCAUGGGAAAUCAUACUCAAAUAAGUAGUAACUGAAUGAACUAAUCUGGAAAAGUGGUCCUCAAUUUGUUUCUGUAAUAUCAGCUAUCACAAUACUGCCUUGAUAUUUCAUACAAUUCUGCAGAGUAUAAAAAAGCAAAAGCCUCUAAAAGUUGGUACUAGAAUGUACUACACGCUCAAUAUAGACCACAAAAUGGAUCAGACAUGAAGCUUAGUAUUGUCUGUGUGCACAGUGUUUAAAUAUUCCCUUGUUUUAAAAGUGCCAGUGUUUGUUAAGUAACUUAAAAUAUUUGCCACAUGUAGCUUAUUUUUUUUACUUUUUAUUAUAUUUUUGUCAUAGGUAAAAAAGUGAAAAGAUUUAUGACAGUCAUUUUUUUAAAACUAAGUUAAGCUAUAUAAAUUGUUGUGAAAUAAAAUACAUUUUAAUUAUAUACAAUAAAGAUCCUAAUUUUAAUUUGCAAGUAUUUUCAAGAUUACAAGUAACGUUAUCAAUUGUUUUACUUAUAACAAUAUUCCUAGGGUGUCUACAUUUAAUAAUUCUAAGUUUUUAAAACAAUUUUAAACUAUUUCAUUUAACAGACAAUACAAACUAACUAAGAUAAAUUGAGAAAUAUAAAUAUCCCUCACCUGUGUUUUUAAAAUUAGAGACAACUUUUGUAUCAUUCCAGAUAUAAUUUAUACCUAUAUAAAUGUGUUUAUUUUAAAUGUGCCAUUUAAAAGAACUGGUUUAUGCUUUGAAAUGGCUGCAUAAUAUUCUACUCUACCUAGAUACCAUUAAAUAUUGAAUCAGCUCUCUAUUGUGUGUUUUUUGCUGUUGUUACUGACAGAUUUUGUAAUUACAAUGCAGAUUAAAAACUUGUUUUAAAAAAUGUGAUUUUGCUCAUAGACAUAUGUCUUUAGAAUACAUUCGUCAUAGUACAAUUGCUGAGACAAAGAGUUUACGCAUUUGGAAAUUUUAUAAAUAUUAUCACAUUGCUUUCUAUCAAUAUCAUCUCACAAGUAUAAUGACAAGUGAAAGAUACUAGGUAUGAACAUUUAUGUAGUAUUCAAAAGCAGAUAAGUUUAUUACCCUGUCAGAAGAUAGCAAAAUGAUUAACUUUAUGAAGGUUUCAAGCACUUAGUUUGAGGGAAGGCAGGAUAGGCAGUUUCAUGAGAAAGGUAUGUCCCAUCUCUUGAUCAGGGUGAAGUUUAAAUGGAGUUGUUUCCUUGAUGAUGCAUCAAAGUCACCACUUGAAAUUUGAUUACUUUUUAAUAUAUGCUAUACUUCAAAAUGUUUAUUAACAUGCAAAUCAUAUAAUGAAUUCCAUUAAUUUAGUGAGAGAAAUUUUUUUUAUAUGCUUCGAAGUCAUUUGUUUUGUUGUUUGCGUUUACUCAGAACAGUGUGUCAAUCUCCUUGACUGAUAUUUCUAUUGUUUCUAGCAGGUCAUUUAAUAGUUUAUAAUGUUUAUAUUUUCAAAGUUUAUUGGGGUGUAAUUUAUUUAUAAUACUGUACAUAUUUAAAGUUCAAAAUAAGUUAAGCCUUAACAUGUAUAUACAGCCAUGAACACAUAACCAUAAAGUAGGUCCUAAAUAUAUUCACCACUCACAAAUGUUUCCUUGUGAACCUUUGUCAUUCCACCCGCCCUUACUUCUUCCGCAUAAUCUCCAUCUAUAGCAACUACCAAUCUAUUUUCUGUUAUUAUAAAUUAAUGUGCAUUUUCUGGAAUUUUAUAUAAAUGGAAUCAUAUCAUAUGUACUUUGUUUUGUCUUGUUUUUUCAGUAAAAUUAUUUUGAGAUUCAUACAUGUUGUUACAUGUAUCAAUAGUUCAUUACUUUUUAUUGUUGAGUAGUAUUUCAUCAUAUGGAUAUGCCACAAUGUGUUCACACCUUAACAUAAAUUUGUCAAUGUAGUUUCCAGUCAUUGGUUAUUAAAUAUAAAGUUUCUUGAAAACUGAUCUAUAAGUAUUGAUAUGGAAUGUGAUUUCUUUUCUCUUGGGUAAAUUCCUGGAAGAAAAUUGGUUCUAUCAAAUGGUGUUUGCAUGUUUAACAGUUAUAGCCAAACCAUUUUCCAAAGUGGUUGUAAUAUUUUACAUUCCUCACAGCAGUGUAUGAGAAAUCAAAUUGUUCCAAAAGUUUGCUAAGACUUGUACAUUUAGAUGUAUCACCAAUUUUGGGUAAAUUUUUGUACUAAUUGUGAGUUGCAAUUGAGGUUCACUUUUUUAUAUGGAUACUCCUUUUUUUACACAAUACAUGUUGAAAGCAUCACCUUGUAUUAAUUGAACUGCCUUUGCAUCUUAUUAAAAUCAGUUUCAAUAUAUGUGAGGUUCUAUUUCUGAACUCUAUUCUCUGUUACAUUGAUUUAUGUGAACACUUUUUCACUGAAGCCACACUAUUUUGAGAACUGUAGUCUUGAAAUUGAGUAUUGGUAAUCCUCUAAAUGUGUUUGUUUUUAUAAAAAUUGUUUUGGCUAUUUAGAUCACUUUGCCAUUCAAAUAAAAUUUAAAAUCUGCUUGUUGAUAGCUACAGAAAAGUUACUGGCAUUUUAACUAGGAAUACAUUAAACUUAUAGAUAAGAUUGAGGAGAAUUGCCAUUUUAUUCUUCCAAUUAAUGGCUAUAUUACAUG
rnacentral:lncRNA from 1 species